rnacentral:lncRNA from 1 species
CCGUCCCGGAAUCGGGGCGUGAGUCCAGGGCCGGGAAGACAAGAAAGUCACCUCCGGACUACAGUUCCCAGCAUGCACUUCAAGGGCCUCUUUCGACGUGUGCUCUCGGGAAACGUAGUUCGCUGUGGAGCAAGAUUUAAAUGUGCAGGUGGCUGUUGAAGUUAAGAGAACUUAGAAAAUUUGAAUUGAACACAGUGAUAUCAGCAUGGAGGGAAAAUACAACAGCUGGACUGCGUUCGAAGUAUUUUUUUGGAACUUAGAUGGAACAGGGCCAUAUUCGUGGAAACCGGAGUGGAACUCGCUCUCCCUUUUUCUUUUCCUGACAAAGCAAAAGGAAAGAAACCCCAUCCAGGGCAGAUCAUCUCAAUGCUAGUAUUCGUUUUUAGGAGGGCCACCAGAAAGUCCUCUUUUCCAAAAAAGGACAAGGAUAAAAAACUGCUUAGAAAAAAAAAUCAAAAAAGACCCGGGACGCCUGAGUGGCUCAGCGGUUUAGAGCCUGCCUUCUGCCCAGGGCUUGAUCCUGGAGUCCCACAGAUCGAGUCCCACAUCUGUUUCCCUCCAUGGAACCUGCUUCUCCCUUCGCCUGUUUCUGUGACUCUUUCUCUCUCUCUGUGUGUGUGUGUGUCUCUCAUGAAUAAAUAAAUAAAAUCUUAAAAAAAAAACACCAAACAUCAACUGCUGUUCCACAUUCACAUCAGAGGGGAUGAAGGAAAAAUAUUGUCCUAUUAUUCUAUUACCUUGUUGACACCCAUUUCUAUUUCUUUUUUUUAGGAUUUUAUUUAUUUAUUUAUUUAUUCAUGAGAGACAGAGAGGCAGAGACAUAGGCAGAGGGAGAAGCAGGCUCACUACGGGGAGCCUGAAGUGGAACUCGAUCCCAGGACCCUAGGAUCAGACCUGAGCCAAAGGCAGGCACUCAACCCCUGAGCCACCCAGGCGCCCCUCAUCUCUAUUUCUGUCACUAAUAAUGUGUCCUCAGAGUCCCUCUGAUUUUAAAUCAUGGAGUAAAAUAUGACAUAAUUUUCUCCCUUUUUCAUCUUCCUCCCUUUUUCAUCUUAUCAAUCAUCACGUGCUCACAAUUUGAGCUAUGUAAUUACUCUUUUAUUAUUUUUUUAGGGUUUUAUUUUUUAAGCAAUCUCUACACCCAAUGUGGGAUUCGAAUUCACAACCCCAAGAUCACAAUUUGCAUGCUCUACUGACUGAGCCAGCUAGGUACCCCUGUAAUUGUGAACAUUUUGCUCUUCUCAUUGGAAACUUCCCUACUGGGUCUCACUUUCCUUUACCUUCCCCAUGCACCUGAGUUCUAGCUAUAUUCACCAACAUCACUUUCUCUUCAUUCUUGCUAAAGCCAUAUAACAGCCAGAAUGAUUUUGCUUUUAAAAUUAAAUUUCAAUUCAGUUCAAAUUAGAUUAAAAUUCCUAUUCAAAAUUUUCAAUGACUGCCUUUGUCAUAGAAUCAAAAAAUGUUUGAACUGACAAAAUAGGAACUUGUGCUGACAGUUCUACUUUCUUGGGGAAGUACUGGGAAGAAAUUUCUGCCUUCUACAAGAAAAGCAGUGAUUAUUUGAUUGACAGACUAGAGAAUGUUCACUGCUUGAGACUCAGCUUCUCUUUCCAUCUUUUUCUUUCCUAAGCGCUUCAUAUAUUUAAGACCCUCUGCUGGAUGAUAGAUAAACAAAUUUCCCACAUCUCUGACUACUUUCCUGAUUUCCACAUGAAUACACUCUUGCUUUGUCACAGGCUCCUUUACCCUCUCCCCACUGCCCUUGCUUCUUCUGAGCCACAACCAUGGCAUCCUUCCCAUUUUCACUUGUGUUUCAUCUUGGCUGAGCCUCUUUCCUGACUAGGCCAGUUCUCAUUAUUCUUUAUUUCUCUACGUGUUUACAGGACACUCACAAACUUGCCUUUUAAGUGGGAUGUAAACUCUUUGCAGCCAGAGACAAUUACAUAAUUCAGUAUAUAGGUAUUUAGCAUUGGACUUACCAUCUACUAACACUAGAUAAUUUAUGUUGAUUGAUAGAUAUGUCUUACUUAUAUUUUAAUAAGAUUUUUAAAGUACUUGCUAUUUGUUAUAAGUUUAAUCUUUUUAAAAUUUUAUUUAUUUAUUUUUAAGAUUUUUAUUUAUUUAUUCAUGAGAGACACACACAGAGAGAGAGGCAGAGACAUAGGCAGAGGGAGAAGCAGGCUCCAUGCAGGAAGCCCAAUGUGAGACUCAGUCCUGGAACUGUGGGAUCAAACCCUGAGCCAAAGGCAGAGAUGCUCAACCACUGAGCCACCCAGGCAUCCCUAGUCUUUUUUUUUUUUUUUUUUAAGAUUUUAUUUAUUUAUGGAGAGGGAAAGAACAGAGGAAAGAGCAGAGGAAGAGGGAGAGAGUUACUCAAGCAGACCCUAAGACCAUGAUAUCAUUACCUGAGAUGAAAUCAAGAGUCAGAUGCUUCACUGACUUGAGUCAUCCAGACACCCCAAGUUAUAAAUUUAAUCUUAAAAUAUCUUACAAGGAAAUAUUAUGAAGCAUUUGUACCUCUAGUAUAUAGGAAAUUUACUUCAGUCCUCUGUACCUCUGUAAAAUGAGUACAUUAAUAAUAUUCUCUUCACCAUAUGUGUUGUGAAGUUCAUAUCUCAAAAGGCAUAUGCAGGGAAAAAGUACUUCUUUAAUUAUAGCGUGCUCUGCAAAUAUUAUUUCUUAUUGAUUGCUUGAUUGAAGCAAAGAAGAAAAUUGAAAUAUUAGUUGGUACAUAGAUGAAUAAAAUUAAUUUUAUUCCCUUAAUCUAGAAAGAGUUUAGAGCUGCUAGAGUUAUUGUCCUUAGCCAAUGAACGAAUAAUUGACAUCUUCUGAGAAUGCUCCUAGGACCUUGACUGUUUGGGGAAAUUCCAAGUCUCCAAACCAGGUCUAGAACAUUGUGUGGGAAAAUCAGAUUUAUUUUUCAGCCUGCUAGAUUGCAUGAUGAUUAAUUAGUGAAAAAGUUGUGAAUUCUCCAUGGCCUUAUCUAGGCCAAGUGUACAUUCCUUAUGGUCUCCUGCCAACAUUCCCAGUUAAACUUCUGUACUCACUCUACUUGUACAAAAUGUUAAUAUUAUUUAUUAAUUCACAGACUUCUUUAAUAUUUGCUCAGCUGUCUGUAUUCUGUUUAACUUGUCCAUAUCAGUGUUCUGGGUUACUGUCAUAGAUUUCCAAGUUGCAGAAAACCUGUUUGCUCUGCAUUAUAAUACAGCAUAGGACUUAAUGGAGAUAGAUAAUAAGUGCCUUUUCAUCCAGAUGACCCUGAGAUGACCUUAUCCCAUUGACAUGAAUCAAGCAAUCAGCACAUAUUGAGAACCUCUUGAAAAUUUUGAGGACAUAAAUCCAGUUUGCUCUUUGCAUAAGUAUGGUAAGACAACCCCCAGAGCCUUUUCUUGAGAAUGCAGUGAUUGUCACUAACUCUAGUCAAGAAUAUCCUUUCCUGUGCUAUUCUUAGGCAUGUGUUUGGUUGACCAUGUGCACAGGCUGUCAACACUUGUACCAACAUAUCUGCCAGGGCAGGAUUAAGGAGAGACAAGGAGCA